rnacentral:rRNA from 1 species
AUUGAACGCUGGCGGCAGGACUAACACAUGCAAGUCGAACGAGUGGCGGACGGGUGAGUACUGUCUGGGAAACUGCCCGAUGGAGGGGGAUAACUACUGGAAACGGUAGCUAAUACCGCAUACCAUCAGAUGUGCCCCGAUGGGAUUAGCUAGUCGGUGGGGUAAUGGUUCACCUAGGCGACGAUCCCUAGCUGGUCGGAGAGGAUGACCAGCCACACUGGAACUGAGACACGGUCCAGACUCCUACGGGAUGCAGCAGUGGGGAAUAUUGGACAAUGGGCGCAAGCCUGAUGCAGCCAUGACGCGUGGAUGAAGAAGGCCUUCUGGUUGUAAAGUACUUGCAGCGAGGAGGCGUUACUCGCAGAAGAAGCACCGGCUAACUCCGUGCCAGCAGACGCGGUAAGUC